GCCCCUAUAGCCCAAUCGGCAGAGGCAGCGGACUUAAAAUCCGCUCAGUCUGGGUUCGAGUCCCAGUGGGGGCACCA
rnacentral:tRNA from 1 species